CUGACCUCAGAUCAGGCAAGACCACCCGCUGAGUUUAAGC
rnacentral:rRNA from 2 species